UACGGAGGAUGCGAGCGUUAUCCGGAUUUAUUGGGUUUAAAGGGUGCGUAGGCGGCCUGCCAAGUCAGCGGUAAAAUUGCGGGGCUCAACCCCGUACAGCCGUUGAAACUGCCGGGCUCGAGUGGGCGAGAAGUAUGCGGAAUGCGUGGUGUAGCGGUAAAAUGCAUAGAUAUCACGCAGAACCCCGAUUGCGAAGGCAGCAUACCGGCGCCCUACUGACGCUGAGGCACGAAAGUGCGGGGAUCAAAUAGG
rnacentral:rRNA from 1 species